rnacentral:tRNA from 1 species
GCCCGCGUGGCCUAAUGGAUAAGGCGUAUGACUUCUAAUCAUAAGAUUGUCGGUUCGAUCCCGGCCGUGGGCU